AUAUUUAUAGUAAUAAUUAUAAUUUAUACUUUAAUUUUAUUAGUCAUAGACUUGAAUUUAUAUUUUGUUUUAACUAGCAAGUUAGUAAGUUACUAAUAACAGUAAGCUAGUAAUAGUUAGUUAGUUAGUUUGCUAUAAUCUCUUUAAUAGUAUUAAAUUGAGUUAUAAUUCAUUAAUUCUCAUUGGCCACUCGAUAAAAACACGGAUUAGAAUCCAUACCCCCUCAUCAAAACACCCUCACAACCGCUGAUUAAACUCAUCUUUAAUCCAAUGUCCUUAUUCAUCUUCCCAAUAAUGAAACCUAAUACGUAGUAAAAAAAAAUCCCCUCAAAAAAAAAAUAAAAAUAAAUAAACCUAAUAAAAAAAAAAAAACCUAAUCAAAAUCGGCAAACUUUAACUCUGCUUCAAUUUUUUUCAUUCAAACCCUAUAAUCACGGUUAUCCUCUUCAACUCUCCUUCAAUUAUAACUUUAAUAGCACGGUUCAUCACCAAUUCACCACCCAAUCAGGCGAUCAGCAAGAACUCACAAGGAACGCGCCUCCGCUACCCACCAAUACGCAGGUUAGUCAUUGUGAAUAAGGAGCCCAUUGCCGGAGAAGUGGUGCGGUAUGCUCUCAAAACAGAGGGGUGGCAGCGUGUGUAGUUGUGUACAAGAGAGUGCUGAUUUUUGGUUGAGGUUCCUGAUGCAUCUGUUUCUGCUGCUAUUUUUGGUUGCUGCUACUCCACUGCCUUGUGGAUGUUCCUCCUAGUGAUUGAGUGUGGUUGCUGCUGCUGCUCGACUGCAUUGUGGAUAAUUUUUGUUUUAUAUAAUUUCUGCUUAGUUUUCUAAAGUAAAUUUGCUAAGUGGUUGGUGUUUUUGUUUACUGAUUUGUGGAUCUUACUACUACCUAAUAAACAGGUUACUAUUGUCACAGGACUUCGUAUAAAUUCUAUGGUUGAUACACUCUUGUUUUGAGAGAAUCUGAUACUUGGGGA